CAGGUCGGGUUUUUGUUUCCCGGCUCUGUCGAGAGCCCGAAUUGAUGAAAAUGGGCACCAUUUCCUUGGUGGCGCAUGGCCCGAUCCAACUAGACGCUCCUGCUCCAUGAACCCUGUCUCCAGCUCAGGCUCUCAACGGAGUUGGGAGACAAAACUCCGGCCU
rnacentral:pre_miRNA from 1 species